UACGGGGGGGAGCAAGCGUUGUUCGGAUUUACUGGGCGUAAAGGGCGCGUAGGCGGCCACCGCAAGUCGACUGUGAAAUCUCCGGGCUUAACCCGGAGCGGCCAAGUGAUACUGUCGUGCUAGAGUGCGGAAGGGGCUACUGGAAUUCUCGGUGUAGCGGUGAAAUGCGUAGAUAUCGAGAGGAACACCUGCGGCGAAGGCGGGUAGCUGGGCCGACACUGACGCUGAGGCGCGAAAGCCAGGGGAGCGAACGGG
rnacentral:rRNA from 1 species